rnacentral:rRNA from 1 species
GACGAACCGAGCGAACGUUGUUCGGAAUCACUGGGCUUAAAGGGCGCGUAGGCGGGUGGGAAAGUCUGCGGUGAAAUCCUCCAGCUUAACUGGAGAAGUGCCGUGGAUACUGCUCAUCUUGAGGAGGGUAGGGGCAUCUGGAACGGUCGGUGGAGCGGUGAAAUGCGUUGAUAUCGACCGGAACUCCGGUGGCGAAGGCGAGGUGCUGGACCCUUUCUGACGCUGAGGCGCGAAAGCCAGGGGAG